rnacentral:lncRNA from 1 species
GCCUGAUCAACUUUGUUGGUGUCUAAGAAAAGCUAUAGAAAGUCUCCCACCUACUGACUUGGUCAAUUCGGUCUUAUUGAGUUUUGGAUCUAGAUUGAUUAGUGAUGUAGAUACUAUAAAGGCCUUCCUUCAUGCUUAGUCAAUAGAGUAUGUCAAGAUCUUAGUGAGCUUAUUGUACUAUCCACAAGGCUUACUAUAAAAAUUGAUAUGAUGUUGACUAAGUGCAUGCUG